GUCUACCACCAUACCACCCUGAACGCGCCCAAUCUUGUCUGAUCUCGGAAGCUAAGCAGGGUCAUGCCUGUAGUACUUGGAUGGGAGACUGCCUGGGAAUACCGGGUGCUGUAUGCU
rnacentral:rRNA from 1 species